AGUGAACGCUGGCGGUAGGCCUAACACAUGCAAGUCGAACGGCAGCACAGUAAGAGCUUGCUCUUACGGGUGGCGAGUGGCGGACGGGUGAGGAAUACAUCGGAAUCUACUUUUUCGUGGGGGAUAACGUAGGGAAACUUACGCUAAUACCGCAUACGACCUACGGGUGAAAGCAGGGGAUCUUCGGACCUUGCGCGAUUGAAUGAGCCGAUGUCGGAUUAGCUAGUUGGCGGGGUAAAGGCCCACCAAGGCGACGAUCCGUAGCUGGUCUGAGAGGAUGAUCAGCCACACUGGAACUGAGACACGGUCCAGACUCCUACGGGAGGCAGCAGUGGGGAAUAUUGGACAAUGGGCGCAAGCCUGAUCCAGCCAUACCGCGUGGGUGAAGAAGGCCUUCGGGUUGUAAAGCCCUUUUGUUGGGAAAGAUAGGCAGCAGGUUAAUACCCCGCUGUUCUGACGGUACCCAAAGAAUAAGCACCGGCUAACUUCGUG
rnacentral:rRNA from 1 species